CAGAACAGUACUGGUGAUGACUAAGGUAUGGUUUGGUGAGAAAAUUAAUAACCAAGACCAAGUUCAUAUGAUUAGCUGGGAAGCUGAAAGAUAACUUGUCCACCACACUGCGAUUUUUCAACAACCUCUAUCUUUCUCUCUCUCUCUCUCUCUCUCUCUCUCUCUCUCUCUCUUCCAUUAUUUGCGUUCCUAAAACCACUUCUACACUAAUCCCAUACCUUGUUCUUAUUGUUUUCAAUCUAGGUGGGAUGGAAAUCAGAUAAUUCAAGAAAGAAAAAAAGCAAAGGACCGGUCCUGGAAGGUUUCUUUUUUCUUUUCCUCUGUAAAUUUCCUUCGAUUUCUCAGUAACCAAACAGAGGUAUUAGUCUUCUCUGUCUCAAAGUAAUCUUGACAGGCCGUUGAUUCUCAGGGAUGAGGUUGCACAACAGCAAUGUCUAUGACGGGCCCAUAAAGGGUACUUCAGAAUCAGCAGAGUGGAUAUUUUUAGUCACUAGCCUUGGCCUAGAGAUGUUGUCAGCUGCUUUUGAUCAGGCUUCCUCCCCGACAAAACCCCACUAUGCCCUAUUUGGUGUGCUGUUGGAUACUGCAGCUUUACUUAUUUCCAUCUGGGAGCUAAUUUAUAAUGGUUGAAAGGAAAGAGUUGUGCUAAGGAGAUGGGGAAGGCUCUGGUGGUUUUAUUAUCCACCUCCUCGGAACGCAUUUUUCGGUACUCUUCCUGACAUUUAUGGACUAGUUGGCGGCAUCUCGCAGUGCAUUUGCUCUGUAGUUCAGUACAUGUACUACCUUCGGCAUGCCGAUAAUCCUAUCAAAGUAUCCAUUUUGCCUGCCAUAUUUCUUAUGUGCUUAGGUGGUUCAAAACUAAAUAGGAAUCAGCGGAACAUGAACACUAUCGAACAUAACAUGUUUAGGAAAAGGCAACUCUUGCACAGCGAGUCUAUCUAAAUAUGUGGUGAGCAAAUCCAACCAGGAAACUAGAGUUUCUUUUAGACAGGGGAAGCAAAUAUUGCAUCGACACAUUUUGAGAUAAAAUCUCACACCUGGACGAGUUCAUGUGUGUUAUGAACAAAUGAAAUACUGAGAAUUAAAAUGGGAUCCUGUGAAUGACAAUUUUCUAGCUAGGUAAAUCCAUGCGAAUUAUCUUUGAUAUAAUGCAGAGUUAAGGAGGUUGUUCCUCAUGAGUGUCUGGAUCUUCCACAUUGGAUGGAGGCAAAACCUGGUUUGGAUCAUCAACCAUGGUCGGUUUUGAUCAUCAACCAUGGUAUUCUUACUUUAAAAUGUUUACAACUCAAAGAUGUACAUGUCUUUUCCAGAUAGUCACUAGCAAAGGUGCCCGUGCGCAAUGCUGCGGGUAUUAAAACCGUAUAAUAUAUGUAAAAAGUUGAAAAAAUGGAUAGGAAACACAAUGUUAUUUACAUGUGAAAGUUUAAGUUACAAAAGAUAGAUUAGUAACAUGUUAUGUAUGCGAAGUAGUGUUUAAAAAACUGUUACUGCUGUUGCAAUAGAUAGAUAAAUAACAUGUUUUAUACACUAAGAUAUACACUGAUUGGUGGCAGAACUUCUCUCUUCAUUGGUUCUUGGUUUUUCAUAUGUUUUGAUGAGCUAAUAAACUUUUUUUUGCAAUCGAAUUGUAGUUGAAGACGGCCAUAAGAAAAAGAAACUGUCCCCAAAUUCAACACAAUGAACUAUCACUUAAUACAGAGAAAUUGAGUGAGGAAAGAAACUAUGUACAAUGAAAAACUAUAUUUCAACCAUCUUUACCAAAUGCACAAAUGGGUAGCCCCAAAUCCCAGUUGUCAAGUCUCAAAGGAAGGCAAACAAUGCAAAACCAAAUAAAACAGCAUCUGGGCUUAUAAAUGUCAUCAAGAAGGAAGGCUCUUGGACUUGGUUGACAAAAGUUUGUAUACUUACCAUACAAAACAGAAGCCUUCACCAUCUUAAAUUUAGCAGUAAAGUGCACCAGUAUAUCCCCUACUCUCAGGCCUACAAUGUCUGAAACAAAUAUAUCAUAUCAAUGUCUCAUAACUAUGUAUCUACCUUAACGACAACAUCCCGUACAUCAUAAUUGUCACACUCUAGAAAAUGUUGCCUCAUAACCGAUCUAGGGGUAGAUACAUAGUUAUGAGACAUCGAACUUAUACAUUUGUUUCAAUCAUAUCCCCAUAGUUAGCAUUAGUCGUUCUCAAUUUGUUGCCAUUAUACUAGCACCCUUAACAUUCUAAGCAUGCUUUAUUUUGUACAUUUUUUCUCAGUUUCAACCUUGAUAAACCCUUUCUCAAGGCAAAAUGUUAUACCGAAACUGUGAAAUUUGUACCGGGAGGCCAUGGAUAAAUGUUUACCGUCCAUCAAAGGCUUUCAAAGAGACAAGAAUGGCUUGGCAGAAGUGCUUCCACCCAAAACUAUAGUUUCAGGCUCCAUUAUUUCAUCUGAUUGAAGGGCGUUUUCUCAGAGUAUCUGUAUCUCCAUAUUGGAUGGAGGCACAAGCGGGUUUGGAUCAGCCAUGGGAUACUGCUAGUACAUAUAUUAAAAUUUUCGGCUUGCACAUUAAAAUGUUUAGAACUCAAAGAUCUACUUUGUCUUUCCAAGAUGGUCAUUGAUUCUUUCUUGACACGAAGUACGGACUUUUUGUUAAACUAAGUUAUCUGUUGGCCUGUCCUGUUUGUUAGUAUAUUGUUACUUUCAAUGACUAUGCUGGCUUGGCUUCAGUUGGUCUAAACUGGACUAAUACUAU